CAGUCGCCGCGGGAAUACGUAGGUCCCGAGCGUUGUCCGGAUUUAUUGGGCGUAAAGCGAGCGCAGGCGGUUAGAUAAGUCUGAAGUUAAGGCUGUGGCUUGACCAUAGUACGCUUUGGAAACUGUUUAACUUGAGUGCAAGAGGGGAGAGUGGAAUUCCAUGUGUAGCGGUGAAAUGCGUAGAUAUAUGGAGGAACACCGGUGGCGAAAGCGGCUCUCUGGCUUGUAACUGACGCUGAGGCUCGAAAGCGUGGGGAGCAAACAGGAUUAGAUACCCCCGUAGUCCCUGUCUCUUAUACAC
rnacentral:rRNA from 1 species